rnacentral:tRNA from 1 species
AUUCAUUUAGUAUAAUUUUAGUAUAUAAAGCUUCCAACUUUAAGGAUAUUUUAAUAUAAAUGAAUA